UUUCUUAGUUUCAGUCGGGAUUUGAUGAUUGCGUGUCGCAUAAGUGUUGCUGUGACCACUGUGCCGUUCCUUUCAUUUCAGAAUUAGUAUCCGGGCUUAUAUGUGGCGUUGAGGCUGUUUCUGCUAUUGAGAAAAACAAGCGGAGCUAGGAUUUUGGUUGUUGGUUUCGGUUCGAGACGAAAGGAGUUGGUUAACGAGUUUGGAUUGUGAUUUUAACGUAUGGAGGUAGGGGCUUUUUAUACAAACUGAUUUAUUUUAAAGUGAAAAUUGUUAUAAAUAGAUAUGCUGUGCGAAAUGUAAUUCUGGUGAUUAUGUGAGUCUUA